rnacentral:rRNA from 1 species
UACGUAGGGCGCAAGCGUUAUCCGGAAUUAUUGGGGGUAAAGAGCUCGUAGGCGGUUUGUCGCGUCUGCCGUGAAAGUCCGGGGCUCAACUCCGGAUCUGCGGUGGGUACGGGCAGACUAGAGUGAUGUAGGGGAGACUGGAAUUCCUGGUGUAGCGGUAGAAAUGCGCAGAUAUCAGGAGGAACACCGAUGGCGAAGGCAGGUCUCUGGGCAUUAACUGACGCUGAGGAGCGAAAGCAUGGGGAGCGAACAGG